rnacentral:rRNA from 1 species
UACAGAGGGGGCAAGCGUUGUUCGGAAUUACUGGGCGUAAAGGGCGCGUAGGCGGCCUCUAAGUCGAACGUGAAAUCCCCGGGCUCAACCCGGGAACUGCGUCCGAUACUGGAAGGCUUGAAUCCGGGAGAGGGAUGCGGAAUUCCAGGUGUAGCGGUGAAAUGCGUAGAUAUCUGGAGGAACACCGGUGGCGAAGGCGGCAUCCUGGACCGGUAGUGACGCGU